AAUCCCUGACUGUUAGGUUCAGUCGUGGACAAAGUCUUUUGUAUAUAGGACACAAAAUUAUCCACUACUAUAAAAAUGUCUAGAGAGUAAUUAUUGUAGAUAUAAAAUAUGUAUUAUACUUCUGGCGGAUCCACCAGGAAGACAGGCAGCAACGCCUUUGGUUGUUGCUAUGGUUACCAUGGCCUAGUGGGGCAUAUUUUGUAUCACUUUUGUCUAGCACUUUAUUUACUAGGAAAAGCAGCAAUUUCAUCUAUUAUUCACAAAUAUUCUCUACUUCAUUCACUUCCUUUUUCCACCUCCAGUUUCCUCCCAUCCUUUGUUCCCAUUCUCCCAGAAUUUAUACAUUUGUCUUUCCACAGUUUUGGGGAUUUUCAAAUUUUCAGCCUGAUGUUCCUGUGGCUACCUAAUUAUCUUCGCAGUAAGGUAAAGGUCGUGCACUUCCUAGUAUGAUUGCCAAGCUGUUUGUUCAGGAAGAAAGAAAAAGCAUGUCAGGCUUUCCAGAACAGAAUUGUAUAUGAUUGAUUGUUUCAACAAUUGUCCAUGUAUUAUUUUGAUAUAUAUUCUACCCAGUGCUAAAGGCUGAAGGUGGUUUACGACAUAUGAAACAAUGAGACAGGGAAACUUAAUUCUAAAAAUAACACCUCUUCCUUUCUUAAGAGGGGAAUAAGAUACCUUCAUCAUCUGAGAAGGUUGUUGGAAUCGACAGAGCUCUGCUGUCAUAGCUCAGUUAGUUAGAAUGUGUUGCUGAUAACACGAAGGUCACAGGUUCGACCCCAAUAAGGGGCAGCUGCAUAUUCCUGCUUUGCAAGGGGUGACUAGAUGAUCUUCAGGGUCACUUCCAACUCUAUAAUUCUGUGAUCCAUGGGAGCUUCCUACUCCAGCUCAAAUUCCUUUUCUACCACCUUUCCUAGCAAGUGUUCCUUAAUUCAUUCCUCCCACAGCCAGUGUAGCACAAUUGCUUACUUAGCCCCAUUAGCAUUCCAGAAAACAUAACACGAUGAAUAUAAAAAAUGCAAGCCAUUGUAGUAUAAGAUAUUUGUGCUGACAGCUCCACAAAAGACAAACCAUGUUUACAUUUUCAGGGUCAAAAAGAAUCCCUUUCUUUGCUCUUCUGGAAGAUAUUUUCUUAGGUGGUCCUGGGUAAAACUGACAAAACAUAUUAGGGAGAUUCUUGACCUUUUUCAAAAUCUGGAAAAGAAUAUUACUAUUAUAGCCAGUUCCUAAUUAUAAUAAUUGUGCAGAAAAACAUGUACAAUCAGUGGUUGUGUUUCCCCCCAACCAUUGUCAUAGCAGCAGCCCUGGGGAAAGUACAGUAUUUAUAGUACCUGGUGACCCUAUGUUGCCUGGAUAAAAUCAUAUUAUUGGUCUCAACUUAUGCUGACGUUAAUUGAGAUUUGCUGGACAUAAUGUGGAUGUUCUGUUCUUUUUAUUUGGUGUGCUAGGGUAUGGGGGGGAGAGACGCCUUAUCUGCACUAUACAUUUAAGCAAUACUAUACCUCUUUAAAGAGUUAUAGCUUUCCCAAAGAAUCCAAAGCGGUUUAACAGUUAAUGCACCCCUGUGUACCCCCAGAAAAAAGCACUGCUUAAAGAUCAUCUAAAUUUUUACAAGAGAUUGAUUCAAAAGCACCAUCAAAUUUUAGAUCAAUUUGAGGUCCGCAGAUCAGUUCUGUGAUUUAUUUGUGGUUUUCUUGUCUUCCUAUGUAAAAAACAUGAAGAACCCUCAGGCCAUGUUUUUGUGGUUAUGGUAAUCACUGGAUCUGUGAUUUUCAACAUAUACACUACCUAUGUAAGCUUUAAUUUGAUAGCGUUUUUUGCACAUAAAAUUUUGAUUUUUAAAAAUAUGAUUUUAAUUGCAUUGGACUCCCCUUGUUGGCAUCUGUCUGUCUUAAGAGAGAAUGGAUUGUGCCUCCAGGGGAGAAGUCAAAACGCUGCAUUAGCAGCACUGAAGUGACCUCCCUUGGGUACAAGUAGGUGGACUACCUUCCCAGCUUGACAAGCCUCAUCUGCCCCUCAUUUCCCUCUAUAGCAUGUGCACAAACCACCUUCUUGAUGUUUGGACCCAUGACUGGUCUCAUCUGCUCAAUCCGCCAGAGCCUGUCUUCACAUGCAGGGGAAGUCCCUAACUCACAGAGUGUUUGAGAACCAUCAACUACCCUCAUCCAGUCAGUUGAUGCUGUUUCCCGGGGUGUGGCCACUGUUGCAUGCUGACAGCUUCUAGCAGACACAGGCUUUUAUAAAGGAAUUUCUGAUCGGAGGCAACAGAUGGAUAAGUGGUCUGUGCAUGGUGAUUGCUACUUCAAUUUCUACGCUGACAAAACUAAAUGUCGCUGUGAUCCAUCUGUCCUUCUGUGUUCAGCGGCCCCAAGCAGUAAGAUGCACCCAGAACACUCUGAUGGUGAGUAAGUCAGAUCUGUUAAUAAAUUCCUGGGGAAGGGUCAGAUCGGUGCAUAAAUUGUUUUUUGUAACCGCACACAGAUCAGUUCCCUUCCAAUGGAGUGAAAAUGGAAGACCAAACAAACACAAGCUCCGUGUGUUAAUUAAAGUUCAAUGACAACGAUAGAUGCAUUAUAUAACCAUCAAAAAAACAUGUCGGGCGAGUUUCACUCAAAUCUGCUUGUGGGCUUCCCAUAGGCAUCUGGUUUGCCACUGUUAGAAUAAAAUCCUUGACUAGAUAGGCCAUGGGUCGGCAAACUAAGGUCCGCGGGCUGGAUCAGGUCCAAUUGCCUUCUGGAUCCGGCCUGCGGACGGUCCAGGAAUCGCCGCGUGGAUCGCCAGCACUCAGUUCUUUCCCUCUCCCUCCCUCGGCAGUGGCGGCGCCUCCUCCUUCCUCCCUCCUCCUGGCUUCUCCCCACCCU